rnacentral:rRNA from 1 species
GACGAACGCUGGCGGCGUGCUUAACACAUGCACGUCGAGCGGAGCGGCGCACGGGUGAGUCACGCGUGAGUAACUGCCCCCCUCUCUGGGAUAACAGUUGGAAACGGCUGCUAAUACCGGAUCGUGGGGGAUGACUCGCGUCCUAUCAGCUUGUUGGUGGGGUAGUGGCCUACCAAGGCGACGACGGGUAGCCGGCCUGAGAGGGCUACCGGCCAAAUUGGGCUGAGAUACGGCCCAAACUCCGACGGGAGGCAGCAGGGGGGAAUAUUGAACAAGGGGGGAAACCCUGAUGCAGCAACGCCGCAUGCGGGAUGAAGGCCUGCGGGUUGUAAACCGCUUUCAGCCAGGAAGCGGUAGUGGCAGAAGAAGCACCGGCUAACUACGUGCCAGCAGCCGCGGGAAUUC